AUCUCCAAACUAGAUCUCUGCAAAAUCAGUUUAUGCAUAACCGAAGGAAAAGAGAAGACGUUCACAGAAUUGGCGGCGACGACGACGCUUGGAGAAGACGGUUCACAAAAUCGGCGGCGACGACGCUUGGAGAAGACGGUUCACAGAAUCGGCAGCAACGACGCUUGGAGAAGACGUUCACAGAAUUGGCGGCGACGACGACGCUUGGAGAAGACGGUUCACAAAAUCGACGGCGACGACGAUGCCAUUAAAUAUGAUAGCUUUAGGGUUUAGAAAUACAAAUCGCUUAAACUUCCACCAUUUUGUACCAUUUGUCCCGUAUAACUGAG
rnacentral:sRNA from 1 species